UAGUAACGGCGAGUGAAGCGGGAAAAGCUCAAAUUUGAAAUCUCCUGGCUUCGUCAGGCGAAUUGUAGUUUAGAGAAUCUUUUUCGGGGACAGGCGGGGUAUAAGUCCUUUGGAACAAGGCAUCGUAGAGGGUGACAAUCCCGUUCACGAUCCCGUCAUUGGCCCUAUGUGAUAAGAUUUCAAAGAGUCGGGUUGUUUGGGAAUGCAGCCCUAACUGGGUGGUAAAUACCAUCUAAAGCUAAAUAUUGGCGAGAGACCGAUAGCGAACAAGUACCGUGAGGGAAAGAUGAAAAGAACUUUGAAAAGAGAGUUAAAUAGUACGUGAAAUUGUCAAUAGUGAACGGUUUAGAACUAUUGUUUGUCCUAGGAAAAUCAAUUGGUCCCCAUGUGGCCAGUGCACUUUUCCUCGGACAGGUCAACAUCAGUUUGGCUCGGGAUAAAAAGCUCCAUGCGCCUCGGCAAGUGGAGUGCUGUCCCGGACCGGACUGAGGACUGCAGCACAGUCAUAGGAUAGCCAGCCGCCUCAGUGCGUACGGAUGUAAACAGCAUGCUGAUUGCGUCUAGUGCGGACGGAGCUCGGUGGGUGAUUUCUCUCCUGUCGCUUAGGAUGUUGACGAAAUGGUUUUAAGCCACCCGUCUUGAAACACGGACCAAGGAGUCUAACAUAUCUGCGAGUUUUUGGGUGCCAAACCCAUAAGCGCAAUGAAAGUGAAUAAGAUGGGAUCCUCGGAGCACCAUCGACCGGUCUGGAUUUUUUUGAUAGAUCUGAGUUAGAGCAUAUAUGUUAGGACCCGAAAGAUGGUGAACUAAGCCUGAAUAGGGUGAAGCCAGAGGAAACUCUGGUGGAAGCUCGUAGCGGUUCUGACGUGCAAAUCGAUCGUCGAA
rnacentral:rRNA from 1 species